GAGCUUGCUCCUGAAUUCAGCGGCGGACGGGUGAGUAAUGCCUAGGAAUCUGCCUGGUAGUGGGGGACAACGUUUCGAAAGGAACGCUAAUACCGCAUACGUCCUACGGGAGAAAGCAGGGGACCUUCGGGCCUUGCGCUAUCAGAUGAGCCUAGGUCGGAUUAGCUAGUUGGUGAGGUAAUGGCUCACCAAGGCGGCGGUCCGUAACUGGUCUGAGAGGAUGAUCAGUCACACUGGAACUGAGACACGGUCCAGACUCCUACGGGAGGCAGCAGUGGGGAAUAUUGGACAAUGGGCGAAAGCCUGAUCCAGCCAUGCCGCGUGUGUGAAGAAGGUCUUCGGAUUGUAAAGCACUUUAAGUUGGGGAGGAAGGGCAGUAACUUAAUACGUUGCUGUUUUGACGUUACCGACAGAAUAAGCACCGGCUAACUCU
rnacentral:rRNA from 1 species